rnacentral:rRNA from 1 species
UACGAAGGGGGCUAGCGUUGUUCGGAAUCACUGGGCGUAAAGCGCACGUAGGCGGAUCUUUAAGUCAGAGGUGAAAUCCCAAGGCUCAACCUUGGAACUGCCUUUGAUACUGGGGAUCUUGAGUCCGGGAGAGGUGAGUGGAACUGCGAGUGUAGAGGUGAAAUUCGUAGAUAUUCGCAAGAACACCAGUGGCGAAGGCGGCUCACUGGCCCGGUACUGACGCUGGGGUGCGAAAGCGUGGGGAGCAAACAGG